rnacentral:misc_RNA from 1 species
CUGAGUUUUUAACUCCAAACCACUGUGAACUUACCACUGUUGCCUCGGCGGCAGGUCUCCCGGUUCUUGUCAUGAGAAUUGGUUGGCGGCCGCCGGUGGACUACCAAACUCUUAUUACUAAGAAUCUAUUCUGAAUUUUAAAACUUAAUAAGUUA